UUCACCUUCUUUAGUCUGCCCUGAAGAAGUCUUAUUAAAGACGAAAAUUUGGCAGAGUCGAUUUCCAGUUUUUGGUGUAUUGUGGACAAAGUCAAGAUGCACAACAGUCAGAACGCGGCACGUAUGACAGAACAGGGGAGGGAUGCGAAUGAAAGACGGCGCCAACGACGAUUGUGUAUGACAGAAGAGCAAAGAGAGCUGGAAAGGCAGAAAGACAGAAAGAGAAAACGGAAGAAGAAGAUUGACAAUCUUCCGAUUCUUCUAUUCACAAGAUUCAGCUGUAGAAACACUCAAGUUAGAGAAGAGAAAAACUUAACCAGUCAAAAUUGUGUGGAAUCAGAAAAAACAGCAAAGCCUGAAAAGAAGAAGGAGAGGACACACAUAAAUAACUUCAACUUCUAUCGCUAAUUGCAGUCCCUAGGAUUUACACUAUUGUAAGAAUUUAGAAAAAAUGGAUUUAGAAGACUAUACAUUUCUGUUGGUUUAAUGCCCAAUUUUUUUUAAAUAUCUGUUAUGUAAUAAUAAUUGUUAUAUCUGUUCUAUGAUGAUAAUUGGUUUGUUAAUGUUAUUUUUUCCAAAUCAGUUAUUUUGUGUAACAGCCUGCUGUGUAUUAUAAGAAAAAGAACAUGUCUCACCUGUUACAUAACUGCAAUUAGUAAUAGAAGGCUUUUAUUAUUUUUAUAUCUAGCCUCUUUAUUUUUUUAAUUUUGUAGCAACCUAAACGUCAACAACAGAAAGAAUUCAAUCAAUUUUGGUAUCAGAUCACAUUUAAUCGAUAGCUACAAUGUUACCCUGAAGUGGGGGGGAGGGGGGGUACUCCCCUUUAUUUACUAUAGGGCAUGCCACCAAAAAGAAAAGAAUGAUUUACAUUCUUUGCUCUAAAACGUAUAUAUUCAGAGCAGUCUGUCAUAACAGAGUGUUUAUUUCUAGUCUAUCAGUGCUGAACAGGAUCUUUUGUCUUCAUAUGAAUAGUUAUCAAGUCUUCAAUUAUCACUAUUCUUAUUUCUGUGAAUUGUUGUUGUCCUAAAACAGGGUUUUAAAAUUAAGGCUUUUUUCUAAUAAAUAUGGCAUUUUAUUUCAGAUAUUUUGUCAUAACAGAGUCAGGGUUUAAAAGCAUUGGCUGCAUCCUUAUACCGAAAAAGGGACAUGUGUACCACACUAUGGGUCUGCACUAAAACAUGUAGACCACACUAUGGGUUUGCACUAUAAUAUAAAAAUAGUCAGUUUCCACAGAUACGCUCAUCAUCUCACAUAAAAUAAAGUUUAAAACUUAGAUGUAACUGUCCAUCUCAUACAAUUGUGUUUCUUUUAACUUCUAUUAAUAAAAUAUAACUUUCUUAGUAAA